rnacentral:rRNA from 1 species
UACGUAGGGGGCAAGCGUUGUCCGGAAUCAUUGGGCGUAAAGAGCGCGUAGGCGGCCCUGUAAGUCCGCUGUGAAAGUCAAGGGCUCAACCCUUGAAUGCCGGUGGAUACUGCAGGGCUAGAGUCCGGAAGAGGCGAGUGGAAUUCCUGGUGUAGCGGUGAAAUGCGCAGAUAUCAGGAAGAACACCCGUGGCGAAGGCGGCUCUCUGGUACGUGACUGACGCUGAGACGCGAAAGCGUGGGGAGCAAACAGG